rnacentral:rRNA from 1 species
UACGAAAGGGGGGCUAGCGUUGCUCGGAAUUACUGGGCGUAAAGCGCACGUAGGCGGCUUUCUAAGUCGGGGGUGAAAUCCUGGAGCUCAACUCCAGAACUGCCUCGAUACUGGAAAGCUCGAGUCCGGGAGAGGUGAGUGGAACUGCGAGUGUAGAGGUGAAAUCGUAGAUAUUCGCAAGAACACCAGUGGCGAAAGGCGGCUCACUGGCCCGGUACUGACGCUGAGGUGCGAAGCGUGGGGAGCAAACAGG